rfam:Hordeum vulgare subsp. vulgare, WGS project CAJW01000000 data, contig: morex_contig_38198
AACAUACUCCCUCCGUCCGGAUUUACUUGUCGCACAAAUUGAUAAAAACAGAUGUGCCAGAACUAAAAUACAUCUAGAUACAUCCAUUCGUAUGAUAAGUAUUUCCGGACGGAGGGAGUAGAUA